AAUAGCCAAACCAUAUACAGGCACAACACACAUUUCAGCAUCUGCCUAAAGAUGAAAUCUUCAAGCAUGUGAGUGGCUCUGAGCCUCAGGGCCAGUGUUAAGGCCUUUUAAACAAACUCCUCUCCCAAGCCACCACUGCAGUGAAGGAACAUAGGGUUGUCCACAGUGAAAUCCAUUGCUUUGUUCAGAACACAAAGGAGGGGUCAUUUGUGGAGAAAUACAAAACCAAGGAGUAAGUCAACUGAAUUUUUAAUCAAAUGGGCUCUGCUAUGGUUUGAAUGUGUCCCCGAAGUUUCUGUGUUGGAAAUUUGAUCCUCAAUGCAGAAGUGUUCGGAGGUGAGACCUUUAAGAGGUGAUUAGGUCAUAAGGGCUCUGCUCUCAUGAAUGGAUUAAUGCCAUUAUUGGAGGAGGUGGUUCCUUACAGAAGGAUGAGUUCAGCCUCCUCCCACUUCUCUUGAGCCCAUGUGAUGCCUUCUGCUAGGUUAUGACAAAACAAGAAGGCCCUUACAAGAUGCCAGCACCUUGAUCUUGAACUUCCCAGCCUGCAGAACUCUUAACCUACAGGAGAAGACAUGCUGUAAAAAAUAAGGCAAGGCUAUGUCUGACGGAUUUCUAGACUGCACAGUCCAGUAGAUUACAUGAGAGGAUCAAUAAUGAAGACCAGUUGUGGUGGCUCAUUCCUGUGAUACCAGCACUUCGGUUGGUCAAGGCUGCAGGAUCACUUGCACCCAGCAGCUCAAGAUAAGCCUGCACAGUACAGGGUGAACCUGAUCUCUAUGAAAAAUAAAAAUUAGCCAGCCAUGAUUGUGUACCGGUAAUCCCAGCUACUCGGGAGGCUUAGGUGGAAGGAUCACUUGAGGGAGGUCAAGGCUGCAGUGAGCUAUGAUCGAAAACACCACUGCACUCCAGCUUUGGCAACACAGUGAGCAAGAUCCUGUCUCAAAAAAGCAGAAAAAUGAAAAAUUAGGGGGAGUCAGAGGGUCAUGGAAGGUUUGAAGGAGGACAAGUGUCUUGAGUUGGACCGCAAAGAGUGAAGACAACAUUUCCAUGAAAGGAAUGGAAGCAACGAGAAGAAGAAAGUUUCUCAAGGAUGCUGGUAGUUUCCCAGAGUAUGAGACUCAGAGAAACAAAAAUGGAAAAUGCUGAAGUCCAUUAAGAAGAGGCUCUCAGAACACUUUUAUUCUGGAAUAUAAACUAGUGCUACCACUAAGGAAAACAGUAUGGAGAUUUCUUAAAGAACCAAAAGUAGAAUUACCACUUGAUCCAGCACUCCUACUACUGGGUAUCUACCCAAAGGAAAGUAAGUCAUUACAUGAAAAAGACACAUGCACUUGCAUGUUUAUAGCAGCGCAAUUCUCAAUUGCCAAGAUAUGGAACCAACCUAAAUGCCCAUCAACCAACAAGUGGAUAAAGAAAAUGUCGUCUAUAUAGUGAUAAAAAGGAAAGAAAUAAUAUCUUUCUCAGAAACUUGGAUGAAGUUGGAGGCCAUUAUUCUAAGUGAAAUAACUCAGAAAAGGAAAAUCAAAUAUCAUAUGUUCUCACUUAUAAUUGGGAGCUAAUUUAUAAAGAUGCAAAGGUAUAAGAAUGUCAUAAUGUAUUUUGGGGACUCAGGGGGGAAGGGAGUUGAGGGAUAAAAGACUACAUAUUGGAUACAGUGUACACUGCUCAGGAGAUGGGUGCCCUAAAAUCUCAGAAAUCAGCACUGAAGAACUUAAUUAUGUAACCAAAAACCACCUGUAACCCCCAAAACUAUUAAAAUAAAAAUUAAUAAAUUAAAGAAGAGAAGAGAUCUUCAGGGCUGAGGAUUGCCUGAGGCCAGGAGGUCAGGACCAGCAUGGGCAACACAGCAAGACCCUGUCUCUACCAAAAAAAAAAUUUUUUUUGACAGGCUUAGUGGCACAUACCUGUAGUCUCAGCUACUUAGGAGGCUGAGUUUGGAGGAUCAGUUGAGCCCAGGAGAUUGAGGCUGCAGCUAUGAUCAUGUCACUGCACUCCGGCCUGGGUGACAGAGGGAGACCCUGUUUCAGACAGAGAGAGAGAGAGAGAUCCUCAGGAAGCAGGGCUGGGCAAGCUAUCCCCAGCACUCCAUCCUCCAAGGUGCAGAGGAUGCACAAUUGCCACUAGCCCUACCUUGAGUAUAAUGCAACUUUUGUAGUGUGGUGAUGACUAGAGGAUGGGAAGUGGUAGCAGAGAAAUUAGUCAAUCUUUGACACUGGAGAGAGAAUUUAGGGAAGGUUCUAUUUCUUCUCUCCUGAAUUUCUGUGCUAGCUUCUUUCCUUCAGGUUAGCUCUCCCAGCAACAACAUUAAGGUCAAGAGGCCAAAUAGAAUUUUGUGGAGAGUCUGGGCCUCUCAUUGGAUUGGUGGAGGACCAGUUUGCAGGGUCUCUGUUCUCUAUCUUCUAGAGCUGAUAUCCACUGAACCAAAGGGGCAGUCGUGUUGACCUUGAGGUAGAAGGGCUUGAAUCACCUAUUCCUGAGCUGCCCAACUAGAAGAAUUUAUUGCUGUCAUCGGAAUACAUAAAAAAGAGUCAAGGUCAGAAAAGCCGGAGUCUGUUCUCUGCCUCCCCCACCUGACCCACUUCUCCACAAUCCACCUGCUUCAGCUACCUCAGGCCUGAUCCCAGCUGCCAGACUCCAACGGAGUCAGAUCCUCAAAUUGCCAGGAGAUCGCUAUCCAAACUGUCACCUCCUGAUCAGAAAAGAAGGAGUUAUGCCGACUGUGCUGCUUUGUCUGAAUCCAGAACAAAGGAUCGGCCCUUAAGGAGGCUGAUGCGAUGUUAAAGCCCAUCACUCUAAAAUUGGCACCACACCUGGGAAGAGCAGGCAGCACCAUCACUGGCUUUCCUGUUCAAGAAUGACACCUGUCAAUCAGGCAGGACAUCCCCUUGGGUUUUCCAGUCCAAGAAAACUCACUGGCUUCUUGAAAAGCCAAAGAGAUCAAGAGAAAAGGGAUGAGGAGAGUGAACAGAGGGGAGGAGGGAACAAUAGGAGAGGGAGGAGAGGUGAGAAUAAAGAAAAGAGGGAGGAAAAGAGAAGGAGAAAUUGGAAGCAAAGGUAGAAUAAUGAGAGGAUGUGGAAGAGCAGGUAGAGGUAGAAGAACAGGUGGGAGAAGAGGAGAGAAGACAAAUGAGGAGAAGAAGACAAGCAGUGUAAAAGAUGGUUAGAAGAGAUGGGAAAUACAAGAGAAAUAUGCAAAAUUCUGCCGCCACCAGAGGCAACAUUUGCCAACUUUUUUGCAGAGUGU